GACGAACGCUGGCGGCGUGCUUAACACAUGCCAGUCGAACGGAAAGGCCCUGCUUUUGUGGGGUGCUCGAGUGGCGAACGGGUGAGUAACACGUGAGUAACCUGCCCUUGACUUUGGGAUAACUUCGGGAAACUGGGGCUAAUACCGGAUAGGAGCUCCUGCUGCAUGGUGGGGGUUGGAAAGUUUCGGCGGUUGGGGAUGGACUCGCGGCUUAUCAGCUUGUUGGUGGGGUAGUGGCUUACCAAGGCUUUGACGGGUAGCCGGCCUGAGAGGGUGACCGGCCACAUUGGGACUGAGAUACGGCCCAGACUCCUACGGGAGGCAGCAGUGGGGAAUAUUGCACAAUGGGCGGAAGCCUGAUGCAGCAACGCCGCGUGCGGGAUGACGGCCUUCGGGUUGUAAACCGCUUUCGCCUGUGACGAAGCGUGAGUGACGGUAAUGGGUAAAGAAGCACCGGCUAACUACGUG
rnacentral:rRNA from 1 species